GUGCAGCAGUCGCGAAAACUUUACAAUGUGCGAAAGCACGAUAAGGGAACUCUGAGUGCCUCCUAAGGAGGCUGUUCAGGUGUCUAAAAGCACCUGAAGGAAGGGCUGGGUAAGACCGGUGCCAGCCGCCGCGGUAACACCGGCAGCCCAAGUGGUAGCCACGUUUAUUGUGUCUAAAGCGUCCGUAGCCGGCUGGGUAAGUUCCUUGGGAAAUUUGGCUGCUUAACAGUCAAGCUUUCAGGGAAUACUGCCCCGGCUUGGGACCGGGAGAGGUCAGAGGUACUCCAGGGGUAGGGUGAAAUCCAUUAACCCUUGGGGGACCACCGGUAGCGAAGGCGUCUGACCGAGACCGGGUCCGACGGUGAGGGACGAAGGCUAGGGGCGCGAACCGGAUUAGGAUACCCG
rnacentral:rRNA from 1 species